ACGUAGCCCACGGGAAACCGUACGGAGUUAAUACCGGACGUGAGACGGGACCCGGCCGAACGGACGGGACCCGGGAAACGGGACGGCUGCGGCGCCGCCGGGGGAUGAGUCUGCGUCCCAUUAGCUAGACGGCGGGGUAACGGCCCACCGUGGCGACGAUGGGUAGCCGGCCUGAGAGGGUGGACGGCCACAUUGGAACUGAGACACGGUCCAGACUCCUACGGGAGGCAGCAGCUAAGAAUCUUCCGCAAUGGGCGAAAGCCUGACGGAGCGACGCCGCCGUGAACGGAGAAGGCCGUGAGGUUGUAAAGUUCUUUUCGGGAGGGGGAACAACCGUGGCAGGGAAUGGCCGCGGGAUGACGUGAAUCCCGGAAUAAGCCCCGGCUAACUACGUGCCAGCAGCUGC
rnacentral:rRNA from 1 species